rnacentral:ncRNA from 1 species
AUUGAGGAUAGAACAGGCAGCUAUCGCACCCGUGAGGUAUACAAAAAGAGAUGUGGGCAGGCCGUCCCACCAAU